ensembl:lncRNA novel transcript, antisense to C7orf33 and CNTNAP2
AUACUGUACACGUGGCUGGCACAAAGAGACGAUGGAGCUGCCGUUUUGAACAUGCCUAGUCCCAGUGUCUGAGGCGCAUGGCCCCGGGAGAGGAGGAGAAUGGGACGGUGGUUCAGAUCUGCUGAUGUAGCUGUGGUCAGUCACUGGGGAGAAUAGGCCUGUGGAUUUCUGCUCCUCUGAGAUGGAUCCAUCACUGACUACUGAACUUGUUUUCUCAUUGGCUCAACUUAAGAAGGUUCUAGAGGAUCAAGGACGUGAAACAACCAAAACCAAAGAGCAGCUGGAGACCACUUGCCAGUGAUUAGCACGAGUUUUAGAUUUACAAAAUUUGUGAAGAUAAUACAUGACAGAGCAGGAGUAUUGCCAUCUUGGACAAGCACUGUCAUUUUAAGUUCACGUUGAUCAAAAACUGCCUAAAUCCAAAGGGGAUCAGCCUAUGACUGUAAACCACAAAUGACAUCUCUGACCAGAAACAUUCCAAAUCCCUCCCUGACCAGAGAUGUGCCAGCCCUGAGACAACCUUCCCACUGGCCAGAAAGAUGUCAGCCCCAAAGAUAACCUCCCCUCCACCCAGAGGCAUUCCAACCCUGCCAUAAACUUCUCCCCUACACGAACAUAUUCCAAGCUUGUGAUAAACCCCCUCACCCUAAAACCAAUAUAUACUCUUAGUCUGUAAGAGAGGGUGCUCCUGACUGAAAUUGGCCAGAAGCCCCUCUCAGGUUUUUUUCCACAAAAAUAAACCUAUCUUUGACUGUUAA